rnacentral:tRNA from 1 species
GCCGAGGUGGUGAAAUUGGUAUACACGCAAGAUUGAGGUUCUUGUGUCCUUAAACAAGACGUGCAGGUUCAAGUCCUGUCCUCGGCACCA